GUCCUGACUCAAGCCUACACUGCAGCCAACAGGACAGCCCCCUCCUAACUACAGGACAUGAUUCAGCCCUACACACCAGCAUGACCACUUCACUCUGCUGCAGCAAGGCGACUUGCACUUCCUGCCAUCCGGGUGAAUGGUUCUCGCUCAUCCUGACCACAGAGUUUCUCCACCCUAGCUCCCCAGUGGUGGAACAAACUCCCGAUUCCUCUUCAACCCACUCAGUCUCUGCUCAUUUUGCGCCGUGGUCUGAAGACACAUUGCUUCAAACUGAACCUGGACUAUCUCUCACCGCUCUACAGGAUGGGUCAGAACAAACCCAAGUAAUAAUGACUUCAAAUCCUCUAUUGUGCAUGUUAACUGGAUCGUCUGCUGAGCAUUCAGAGGAACUGCCACCUGUUGUGUGUCAACCUGUUCCCCCUCCUGGAAGCAAGUCACUCUCUUUCAUGGAUUCCUGGCUAACUCCUCAACAAAAACUGCAGUAAACCCCUCAAAGCCUGACCUCCAGCCAAACAAGCCUGCAAUAACACAUCUAUUUUUUCUUUUGUUAAAAAUCUAACAAAUGUUGUUAUUUCAUUUCUCAUGGCAUUCGUGAAAAAUCAGAUAAGUCUCAAACCACUUGGUAAGACAGACUUUUUUGCAGUGCAGGCAGCUGCUUUAAAAGACACAGGCAGCAAGGAAGAUGUUUUCUUAUAGAUGGUUUCUGAUUGAUGAAAGACACCCAUGCUAUGUUCUUGGACAUCUGCUUUUCUCUUAAUUCCAGUAGCCCCUUGGAGAGGUUAUUGCACAGCAUGAUACCAAUUUUAAUUGUAAUGCAUGUAAAAUAGUUAUACAGAUUUCUCAACGAAACCAGAGGAAGUUCUGCCAGUGCAGCUAUCAAGAGCAUGCCAUACUGAUAUGAGUGUGUGACUGGAUGACUAAAAAAAUAUUGGUUUGCUAAUUUCUAACAAAACUGAAAUGAUGCUACCUUGGUCCCGGGCAGCUCUGUAACAAGAUCGUAUAUUUCAUGCUUAAUGGGACAGAUUUUCCUUAUGGGCAAAGGAAAAUGUUAGAGGUCUUAGAGCAUUAUUAGACUCGUUCAUAUUGUUGUUCUGUUCUAUUAGAUUUUUAAAAUAUCACUUUACUCCCAAGAAUAAAUCAUAAUGUGUAAUUCUGCACUAUAAAAAUGAAUAUGAAACUGUAAAAUAAAUAUCUUUUCACUUCCCAUA